rnacentral:tRNA from 1 species
GGGGCUGUAGCUCAGGGGAUAGAGCAGCGGUCUUCUAAACCGCUGGUCGCGCGUUCGAAUCGCGCCAGCCCCG